rnacentral:ncRNA from 1 species
AAAAAGUUUUAUUUUAGCUUAAAAUAUUAAUCUAUAAUUUUUAUAUAUGUAAGUUUUAGCGGGUGAAUUUUUGAUAUUAAAAAUAUUUUAAAAAAUUAUUAUUCUCAGUUUAUAAAUUUUUAUAUUUAAGAAAUUAAGAUUAAGGAAUUUAUUUUAGUAUAAACAAAAUUUGUGCCAGCAGUUGCGGUUAUACAAUUUAUUCAAUUAAUAUUUAUUAGUAAAUAAUAAAUUGAUUUAUUAAUAAAUUAAAAUUAAAUUUAUUAAGUGAAAUUUUAAAUUUAAUAAUUUUUAUAAAUAAAAUUUUGAAAUUAUUAAUUUUUUUAUUUAAACUAGGAUUAGAUACCCUAUUAUUUAAAAUGUAAAUUUAUAUACUAAAUUAUUAAUAGUUAUGGUCUUUAAAAUUAAAAAAUUUGGCGGUAUUUUAGUCUUUUCAGAGGAACCUGUUCUAUAAUUGAUAUUCCACGAUUAAUUGUACUUAUUUUAAAAAGUUUAUAUAUCGUCGUAGUUUGAAUACUUUAUAAGAAUUAAGUAUUCAAUAUUUAUAAUAAUAAAAAAAAUCAGAUCAAGGUAUAGCUUAUAAAUAAGAAGAAAUGGGUUACAAUAAAUUUAUUUAAACGGAUUUUUUAUUGUAAAAUAUUAAUAAAGGGGGAUUUGAAAGUAAUAUAAUUAAUUUAAAUUAUAUGAUUUAAGCUCUAAAAUAUGCACAUAUCGCCCGUCGCUCUCAAUUAAAUUGGGAUAAGUCGUAACAAAGUAGAUGUACUGGAAAGUGUAUCUAGAAAGA